CUCAUUUUAUUGCUGGAAGCCUGGAAACAACAAACAGAUUGGUCGAUUUUUGGAUUAAAAUUUGGGGUAAUCCCUAUCAACUUUAAGAUAUAAGGGUUAAUUUCAUAUGUGGCCAUCGCGAUUUCCGAAAUUGGAGAGAUGAGAGGUUGUGCUACGGGAAAACAGAGACAGCGAGACUACGAAUCACAAAGUACCUUAUCUAUGACUUGCAAAAAAGACCAAAUUUUGUAAUGUUCGCUCUAUGUGACUGAAUAGGGUGUAUGUUUUCCUUACUUUCGAUUCAGAAUCGAAGAGAAUAGGGAGAGAUGAGAAAGAAUCUAACCGAUAGAUCUCUUCUUCCUCGGCAAUGUGGCAUCUUGAUCAUCCCCAUAUGUGUCUUCCAUAUUGUCGCUCUUAGAUCUGGUCUCAUGCUCUGUAUCUGUGCUUCUUCUUCCAUUAAACAUUUACUGUGCUUCAAUUCGAAACAGUUGCAUCCUAGUUAAUACAUAUAUGGAUGGAGAAUAGUAGGAGAAAUUAAAUUGAUUUUGAGAAAUAAUCGUAUUGUGAUCGAACCGUCUGAGAGAGAUAUCAAAUUGCUAUGGGGAGAGAACCGUGGGUGAGAGAAAACUGUUGUUGACUUGUUGUGAUAGAACGUGUGAGAGAGAAUUUUUGGCGGUAAAAAAUAGCCGUUAAACUCAUUUUAUAUAGAUUAACCGAGGGUGACCCUCGUAUCUGUUUCCCUUGAGUAACAGUAUUUUUAGCUCAGGCCCAACUCUAAAUACGGGCUUCCCUCUUUAUUUUACUUAUCUAUCA
rnacentral:lncRNA from 1 species